UUCCAGACUCCUACGGGAGGCAGCAGUGGGGAAUAUUGCACAAUGGGGGAAACCCUGAUGCAGCGACGCCGCGUGAGUGAAGAGGUAAUUCGUUAUGUAAAGCUCUAUCAGCAGGGAAGAAAAUGACGGUACCUGAGUAAGAAGCCCCGGCUAACUACGUGCCAGCAGCCGCGGUAAUACGUAGGUGGCAAGCGUUAUCCGGAUUUAUUGGGUGUAAAGGGAGCGUAGACGGAAAGGCAAGUCAGAAGUGAAAGACCAAGGCUCAACCAUGGGACUGCUUUUGAAACUGUCAAACUAGAGUACGGGAGAGGUAAGAGGAAUUCCUAGUGUAGCGGUGAAAUGCGUAGAUAUUAGGAGGAACACCAGUGGCGAAGGCGUCUUACUGGACCGAAACUGACGUUGAGGCUCGAAAGCAUGGGGAGCAAACAGGAUUAGAUACCCCAGUAA
rnacentral:rRNA from 1 species